CCUACGGGUGGCAGCAGUGAGGAAUAUUGGUCAAUGGGCGCGAGCCUGAACCAGCCAAGUAGCGUGAAGGAUGACUGCCCUACGGGUUGUAAAUUUCUUUUAUAAAGGAAUAAAGUGAGGCACGUGUGCCUUUUUGUAUGUACUUUAUGAAUAAGGACCGGCUAACUCCGUGCCAGCAGCCGCGGUAAUACGGAGGAUACGAGCGUUAUCCGGAUUUAUUGGGUGUAAAGGGAGCGUAGAUGGGUUGUUAAGUCAGGUGUGAAAGUUUGCGGAUCAACCGUAAAAUUGCAAUUGAUACUGGCAGUCUUGAGUGCAGUUGAGGUAGGCGGAAUUCGUGGUGUAGCGGUGAAAUGCUUAGAUAGCACGAAGAACACCAAUUGCGAAGGCAGCUUACUAGACUGCCACUGACAUUGAUGCUCGAAAGUGUGGGUAGCAAACAGGAUUAGAUACCCCUGUAGUC
rnacentral:rRNA from 1 species